GAUGAACGCUGGCGGCGUGCUUAACACAUGCAAGUCGAACGGGAAACCUUUUAUUGAAGCUUCGGCAGAUUUAGCUGGUUUCUAGUGGCGGCCGGGUGAGUAACGCGUGGGUAACCUGCCUUAUACAGGGGGAUAACAGUCAGAAAUGGCUGCUAAUACCGCAUAAGCGCACAGAGCUGCAUGGCUCAGUGUGUAAAACUCCGGUGGUAUAAGAUGGACCCGCGUUGGAUUAGCUGGUUGGUGGGGUAACGGCCCACCAAGGCGACGAUCCAUAGCCGGCCUGAGAGGGUGAACGGCCACAUUGGGACUGAGACACGGCCCAGACUCCUACGGGAGGCAGCAGUGGGGAAUAUUGCACAAUGGGGGAAACCCUGAUGCAGCGACGCCGCGUGAAGGAAGAAGUAUCUCGGUAUGUAAACUUCUAUCAGCAGGGAAGAUAAUGACGGUACCUGACUAAGAAGCCCCGGCUAACUACGUG
rnacentral:rRNA from 1 species